rnacentral:sRNA from 1 species
UAAAACCUUUUGCUGAAUCCAUUUUUUGGAACGGGGGAACCAUUUAUGUAGCCUAUGCUACUUGGGGCGAAUCUUUUUCAAGUAGGGAAACUCUCACUUCCCGAGUCCGACAGCUAACCUCGUAAGCGUAACGGGAGAGGAAGG